GAGAGAGAAAGAAGAAGAAAGGAAAAGAGGAAGAAGAAGAAAGAAGAAGGAGGGGAAAUCGACCGUAGAGCUUCACCGGAGCUGGGUCUUGGUAUUUUGAACCCGGAUUAAUGAUCAGUUUGCCAAGGUCUUCGAAUUGAGGUGAUUUUGCAGGUUACCCGCCUGGUGAUCAAGAGCUGGGCCCCACUGUGGAGUUUCCAUCUGAGGACUAGUGGGUCCCUGACGAGUUCGAGCAUGGUACUAAUUGCACGUGCAAGGAUUGUACUGCAUGAUAGUUGUGACUCCUGAGUGAUUCUUUUGAUUCUUUUGAUGAACCGAACCAGAGGGAGUUAGAGCGGAUUCCUUAUG